GGAAACAAGACAGGUGGACAAUGCGACAGGAAGCAAGAAUGAAUUUCUAAUCAAUCUACUAUCUCCCUUGAGUCGGGGUGAACGUACCGACGCACGAUGUUGUGUUUAAUGAUCUGGAAUCCUAGAGGAUCACCCACCCUCGUAAUUCAGUAUUGAGAUGAUCUCCUUAAUUUCUCAAUUGUGUUUUAUUAAAUUGGAUUCCUGUAAGUAUCCUUGCUCUAAUUUGAUAGUUUUACCCUCCCGAGCAUGUUGUGCUUCCAUAAAAAACAUGAAUAUUUCUCAGCCAUUUUAUUGAAAAUGUAGUCGUAUGCUUUCACAUUGACUCUGGAUAUUCUCCUAAACGAAGGUCAAUAACAAUUGAUUUUAUCGGCAACAGGAGGCGCUUAUCAGUCGCCAUCAAGUGCCUCAAUCAGUGCGGCGUCCAGGUAUACACAUUGCUUCAUCUCCUGUGCUAUCUCAUCGUCUAGACAAUGUAUCCAUGGGUGACCCCUGUACUCACCUCAUCUCCAGAUUAGAAGAUAAGUGUCCGUAGGAGGGUAGGAUCUAGGCAAUUGCAGUACUGAUUGUCCAGCUAGGCAACAAAGUCGACGGGGCAAAUAACAUAAUCUUCAGAUUAAGUUAUAUUCGAAAGUCAGUAGGCUUUUCAUGAUUGCCAGUGGUAAAACAAGCAUAUAUUUCUUUUGAUUAUUGACAUAGCACAGCUUAGUAGAGUGGACCAACCAACAUUGGGUUUGGGAGGUCAUUUAAUAGGAAACACUUCGGUGCAAGUUUCUUCACCAUUGAACACAAUUCAUCACGAGACUAUAUAUGCUGGCUGUCAUGCAUGUACGUCUGUAACUAAAUAAAGGGCAGCCCUAGUGCAUGUAGCUCCUACUUGCGCAGGGUCUGGGGAAGGGUCCGACCACUUUGGGUCUAUUGUACGCAACCUUUCCCUACAUUUCUGCAAGAGGAUGUUUUCAGGACUUGAACCCGUGACCUCAUGGUCACAAGGCAACAGCUUUACCACUACGUCUGUAACUAAAUAAUUACAGGAUGUUGUGUGCUUGUUCUAUGUCUAGCAUUAAAGAUGUUCGAAUUUUUGUACCAGUUUCCAAUAGAUCAUUUCCUACAACAAUAUUUGUUUUGCAAUCCAAACAAGUAAAUGUCUUGUAAAGAAGUAGAUGUUUCUGCAUAUGAACACACCAUUCAAGUUAUUUACAGAAUAAUCUUCUUGGAGCGAUCAUAAUUUCGUGCAUGUUUACAUCAUUAUUCAUGUGUGGGUUGUAUUGUGUUUUCUUUUGUGGGGUGCCGGACGGGCUACUGACGAUACUAGCAUGUUUGGGCUGGGGAGACAGAGAUGGUAUGCGGAGUAAGAAGAGUGAUUUAAGGGGAGAGAAAUCAUAACAGGGGUUGGUGUGGAGCAGAAGAGGGCGAAGGAAGACUUGUGGGGAGCUGCGAGGAAUAGAUUUUGGGGUAAUUGCUCGUGGUUUCAAGGUUGCACAAAGGAGAGGAGGCAUGGUUCAAGGUCGUCUUCUGGCACUGGUUUGCCAGCUAGGUCCUCGACGACAUCUGCGCCUCAUAGGUGUUUAGGUGCAGACAUCACAGGUGAACUGCAUCUUUCUAUCUAAAUUUCUUACGUCAAGAGCUGGGAAUAUUUGAAACAUCUAAAUUGCUUAUAUCAACACUAUAAUAGAAAAUACUAUUCUGAAAUAAUACAAAACACCGGGAUAAACUGGGCACUGGAGCCAUAUUGACACAGAACCCAUGAUCAAUGAUGUGUGAGCCAAGUCUUGAUACAUGUGAACUUACAGCCACCCAUUGAGUACAUGACUUCUUCCAUCUUCUAUUCUUUUGUUUUCCAGUGCAGAUAUUCCACCAUGCAUUGUAUUUGACCAUACUUAACCAAGUUGAUUCAUAUCAUUAAGUAUAUUUUGGUUUUCUUCCAGUUUAUUAGGCAUGGACCAGACACAAAUUCUGAAGCUUCAAUAAUUUGGGUGGUCUAAUAGUUCCUGUAUAGCUUGAUGUCGUAUCAGGUGUAAUUUUUUGUUGUUGCUUGAUGUUGUAUCAAGACAAGCUAGGGUCAACAAGGAACAAAGGGGUUGACACAUGGAGAAGCGGGAGCAUAAAAUU